rnacentral:rRNA from 1 species
GGUAGCGUAAUCACUUGUCUUUUAAAUAAAGACCAGUAUGAAUGGCGAAACGAGAGCCAAACUGUCUCCCCUAACUAGUCAGUGAAAUUGAUUUUCCCGUGCAGAAGCGGGAAUACCAUUACAAGACGAGAAGACCCUAUGGAGCUUCAAGCAAAAACUAACCCUGCAAACCAAACUAUAAGCAACCCUUAGUAAACGCUUUAGGUUGGGGCGACCACGGGAAAAAAUUUAACCCCCGAGAUUAAUUAGCUGAGAGAAACACAUCAAAGCAACAAAAACCUUGAUAUAUUGACCCAAUAUUUGACCAACGAACCAAGUUACCCUAGGGAUAACAGCGCAAUCUUCUCAUAGAGUCCUUAUCGACGAGAAGGUUUACGACC